AUCCAACUGAUGAGUCCCGAAUAGGAUGAAACUAGCGUCCUGGAU
rnacentral:hammerhead_ribozyme from 1 species